GCCUUCGUGGUGUAGUGGUCAGCACGCUCGGCCCGUAACCGAGAGGUCCGUGGUUCGAUUCCCGGCGAAGGCG
rfam:Stegodyphus mimosarum contig9608, whole genome shotgun sequence.